GGGUAGUUUGACUGGGGCGGUCUCCUCCUAAAGAGUAACGGAGGAGCACGAAGGUUGGCUAAGCAUGGUCGGACAUCAUGCGGUUAGUGCAAAGGCAUAAGCCAGCUUGACUGCGAGAGUGACGGCUCGAGCAGGUACGAAAGUAGGUCUUAGUGAUCCGGUGGUUCUGAAUGGAAGGGCCAUCGCUCAACGGAUAAAAGGUACUCCGGGGAUAACAGGCUGAUACCGCCCAAGAGUUCAUAUCGACGGCGGUGUUUGGCACCUCGAUGUCGGCUCAUCACAUCCUGGGGCUGAAGUAGGUCCCAAGGGUAUGGCUGUUCGCCAUUUAAAGUGGUACGCGAGCUGGGUUUAGAACGUCGUGAGACAGUUCGGUCCCUAUCUGCCGUGGGCGUUGGAAGAUUGAGAGGGGUUGCUCCUAGUACGAGAGGACCGGAGUGAACGCACCACUGGUGUUCGGGUUGUCAUGCCAAUGGCAUUGCCCGGUAGCUAAGUGCGGAAGAGAUAACCGCUGAAAGCAUCUAAGCGGGAAACUUGCCUCGAGAUGAGUCUUCCCUGUC
rnacentral:rRNA from 1 species